rnacentral:rRNA from 1 species
GUAGGUGGCAAGCGUUGUCCGGAAUUAUUGGGCGUAAAGCGCGCGCAGGCGGUUCUUUAAGUCUGAUGUGAAAGCCCACGGCUCAACCGUGGAGGGUCAUUGGAAACUGGAGAACUUGAGUACAGAAGAGGAAAGCGGAAUUCCACGUGUAGCGGUGAAAUGCGUAGAGAUGUGGAGGAACACCAGUGGCGAAGGCGGCUUUCUGGUCUGUAACUGACGCUGAGGCGCGAAAGCGUGGGGGAGCAAACAGGAUUAGAUACCCUGGUAGUCCACGCCGUAAACGAUGAGUGCUAAGUGUUAGGGGGUUUUCCGCCCCUUAGUGCUGCAGCUAACGCAUUAAGCACUCCCGCCUGGGAGUACGGCCGCAAGGCUG